rnacentral:rRNA from 1 species
GGAUUAGAUACCCUGGUAGUCCACACCGUAAACUAUGAUCACUAGAUGUUGGCGAUAUACAGUCAGUGUCUUAGAGAAAUCGUUAAGUGAUCCACCUGGGGAGUACGUUCGCAAGAAUGAAACUCAAAGGAAUUGACGGGGGCCCGCACAAGCGGUGGAGCAUGUGGUUUAAUUCGAUGAUACGCGAGGAACCUUACCAAGGCUUAAAUGUAAAACGACCGACUGAGAGAUCAGUCCUUUUUCGAACGGUUUACAAGGUGCUGCAUGGUUGUCGUCAGCUCGUGCCG